rnacentral:rRNA from 1 species
UUCGCCCUUAAAGUUUGAUCCUGGCUCAGAACGAACGCUGGCGGCUUGCCUAACACAUGCAAGUCCAACGCUAUUUAUAGAGUGGCGCACGGGUGAUUUACCCGUGGGAGCCCGCCUUUUUCUGCAGGAUAUCGGUCGGAAACGACCGAAUUCCCCUCACCCCCCCUACUGGGGAAAGGUCCGCCGGAAAAAGAGGGGCCCGGGUCGAAUUAGGUUGUUGGUAGGCUAAUGGCCUACAAAGGCUACGAUCACUUUCUGGCCUGAAAGGAUGAUCAACCCUCCCGCCCUUCAUAUUCCCCCCACAGCCCUACCGAAGGUAGCCGGGGCUAAUUCUGUACAAUAGGGGGCAACCCUGAUCCAGCAAUGCUGCUUGAGUGAUGAAGGGCUUACGGCUGUAAAGCACUUUCACUGGUUAAGAUUAUCACCGUUUCUACAAAAUAACCCACUGCUACCUUCCUGACGACUCCCGCCCUUAUCUCAAGGGGGCUAGCGUUGAUCGUAAUCACUGACCAUAUAGUGAGCGUAGGCUGUCUUU